AACGAACGCUGGCGGCAGGCUUAACACAUGCAAGUCGAGCGCCCCGCAAGGGGAGCGGCAGACGGGUGAGUAACGCGUGGGAAUCUACUCAUCUCUACGGAAUAACGCAUGGAAACGUGUGCUAAUACCGUAUACGUCCUUCGGGAGAAAGAUUUAACGGAGAUGGAUGAGCCCGCGUUGGAUUAGCUAGUUGGUGGGGUAAAGGCCUACCAAGGCGACGAUCCAUAGCUGGUCUGAGAGGAUGAUCAGCCACACUGGGACUGAGACACGGCCCAGACUCCUACGGGAGGCAGCAGUGGGGAAUAUUGGACAAUGGGCGCAAGCCUGAUCCAGCCAUGCCGCGUGAGUGAUGAAGGCCCUAGGGUUGUAAAGCUCUUUCACCGGUGAAGAUAAUGACGGUAACCGGAGAAGAAGCCCCGGCUGACUUCGUGCCAGCCGCCGCCGUAACAC
rnacentral:rRNA from 1 species